rnacentral:ribozyme from 1 species
ACAAUAACUCCGCCUGUAGCUCUUAUAGGGUUACAGCCGGUCCCAAGCCCGGGUAAAGGAGGAGGGUUGG